GGCGGCAGGCCUAACACAUGCAAGUCGAGCGAGCACUUCGGUGCUAGCGGCGGACGGGUUAGUAACGCGUGGGAACGUGCCCAAAGGUACGGAAUAGCCUCGGGAAACUGAGAGUAAUACCGUAUGUGCCCUUCGGGGGAAAGAUUUAUCGCCUUUGGAUCGGCCCGCGUUGGAUUAGGUAGUUGGUGGGGUAAUGGCCUACCAAGCCGACGAUCCAUAGCUGGUUUGAGAGGAUGAUCAGCAACACUGGGACUGAGACACGGCCCAGACUCCUACGGGAGGCAGCAGUGGGGAAUCUUAGACAAUGGGGGAAACCCUGAUCUAGCCAUGCCGCGUGGACGAUGAAGGCCUUAGGGUUGUAAAGUCCUUUCAGCUGGGAAGAUAAUGACGGUACCAGCAGAAGAAGCCCCGGCUAACUCCGUGCCAGCAGCCGCGGUAAUACGGAGGGGGCUAGCGUUGUUCGGAAUUACUGGGCGUAAAGCGCGCGUAGGCGGAUUGGAAAGUUGGGGGUGAAAUCCCAGGGCUCAACCCUGGAACUGCCUUCAAAACUCCCAGUCUGGAGUUCGAGAGAGGUGAGUGGAAUUCCGAGUGUAGAGGUGAAAUUCGUAGAUAUUCGGAGGAACACCAGUGGCGAAGGCGGCUCACUGGCUCGAUACUGACGCUGAG
rnacentral:rRNA from 1 species